UUCAGAAGGUGACCUCUCUUUGUUCCUGGUUUCUUUGAAGAGCUUCUCUUUGCUUUUGAUGUUCCACAGUUUUAUCAUCGUAAGUCCAGGCUUAUCCCACCUUUCAGGAAUAUGCCAAGCAGGCGCUUUCAGGAAAUGGAAUAUUAAAAAUCCAAGAAAACAAUGGAAGGCCUAAAAGGGAGAGAAUGUACUGCUCAGGCCGACGUGAGGAUCCAAUCCACUCACCGGUUACAUGCCACGAUGUAAAUUAAUAAAUUCGCAUUCUGAUUUUAUCAUCUGCCUCAUCUGAGGUCUGUAGGCGUGAGUCAGCAUCCCCUAGUUUAAUCAACAUGGACACUGAGACUAUCAAGCUUUUGAGCUGAAAAGCUAAGAAUUAGACCCAGGACCAGAGUGAAAUCACCAAGAUGAGGAAAUCCAAGCUCAGAAUGGAUAAUUCACCUAAGGAAAUACAGAUGGAAAAUGGCAGAGCUGCAAUCUAAACCCAGGUCCAUCUGAUAAUAAAGCCCAGGCUCUCCUCAACCAACUUCAGAUCUAGGAUGCUUCCAGUGAGACUCCGUGCUCCCUCCCUGUGUGGUUCCCAUGGCCUUUCUUUACCUCAAGAAAAUGCAGAGUGAAAAGCAAUGGUAGCAGAAGUUUCUAGAAGUUACUUAUAUGGCAAGUGCAAGUAUUUCAGAACACAUUUGAGAUUCAGGAAGGAGGCAAAAAGGCUUCUGCUGAGCAGUCAAAAUGACGAAGUUUGUAAACUUCACUUUAUUUGGGUCCCUGCUGAAAGUCUACCUACUCUUUAAAAACAAUAACAACAACAAAAAAUGGGAACACACUAUUAACGCUGUUCUGCACAUGUAUUUUUCAAUUAACAAUUGGUGAGUAUUCCCUUUUAGCGCACAUAGAUCUACCUCAUUCAUUUAAGGGCUCUGUAGUGCUGCAUUGUGUGAAUGCACCAAAUGUGUAUUUAUCCUGCAUUCUCUAGGUGGACAUUUUAGACACUUACAAGGGUUGGGGCUCAGAAAGUGAUAUCCCAAAGGCUGAUGUUUUGACAUGCUGAGGGCCCUCAGAAGCCGCCCCCGAACCAAGGUCCCUCUAACUUCUUGUUCCCCAUACCUGCCCCACCACCAAACACAGGGAGGGACUGUCUGUCUUUGGAAAUUUCCUCAUCUGACCAAGAAAGCAUCUUUCCAAAAGAAAUGCAAUUGUCUUAAACACCCUCCCUAGAGGUCUCAUCAAAUAACCAAGAAAGAUAAACCACCAGAAGAGAUGAGACUGGGAAUCAUCACCACACCCAGACAGACUUCAUCUAUUCUUCUGAGAGCAGCUCCAAGAGAUUGCCUGGAGGACUUUAUCUGCUUAAUAAGACAAGCUUUGUUCCUGUACAGCUCCGCCCCUCACCUUCCUGUAAUAUCUGCCUCCCACCUCCCCAGUCCAUACAUCUCCUCCCUCCUGUAUGAAAAAGGGUAUACAAGCUUCUGUGCCCCAUUGGGUUAUUGGGAAAUCAUUCUCCUGUGAUUCCCCUGUGCCAUGCACACUAAAAUAAAA
rnacentral:lncRNA from 10 species